UACGGAGGGAGCUAGCGUUGUUCGGAAUUACUGGGCAUAAAGCGCACGUAGGCGGCUUUGUAAGUUAGAGGUGAAAGCCCGGGGCUCAACCCCGGAACUGCCUUUAAGACUGCAUCGCUUGAAUCCAGGAGAGGUGAGUGGAAUUCCGAGUGUAGAGGUGAAAUUCGUAGAUAUUCGGAAGAACACCAGUGGCGAAGGCGGCUCACUGGCCUGGUAUUGACGCUGAGGUGCGAAAGCGUGGGGAGCAAACAGG
rnacentral:rRNA from 1 species